GGCGUGUCCUGUAGAUACCGUGGGCCCGCAGGUAGACCUUCUUGGGAAGGUUGUCACUUCGUCUUAAUUACGCACCUGUGCUCGAGGUGACUUCUCCUGUAUCAUCGCUGAGAAGUUUGCCAGAUACCAGUUCGGCAGAAUGUGGACAGAAAACUCCGACACCAGGCCGUCUGCAUUGGUAAAGCUCCUGCUCGCUGAGAGGCCAGCAGGCCCUCAGCAGUCUCCAAAGAGCUGUUAGGGUGAAAUCCCCCCAGCAAAGAUACUUGGCAGCCAUUUACAGCCACUAGGGACAGAACCUCUGCUGAUCCCGCUGUUGUAGUGCCGCUGAUGUUUGUGUGUGCUAUACCUCCAUCUUGUUCUCCGCUGCCAGCUGGGAUUAAAUUGGUGGCAAGACACCUCAAGUCUGAGCUCCUAUGCACAUGACAGGCAGAUACAAAACCCCAUAGAUUUCAUUAUCCCAGAGAUGUCAAAGACAGGGCUUCCCUACCUCCAUAAGUCCAAUUUGACUGCUGGCACUGAGGCGACACGAAGGUGGGCACACAGGAGUACACAGGUUUCUCUCUGCAAUUUGAUGUAAUCAGGAUCUGAUUCAGAUUCAGUCAGGACGCCAUGUGAGAAAGGCCUCUGGGAGCUCGCCAAUCAGCCGACUAGCAGCAAGAGGGGACAUCCAGCGCUUCUGGAGGAGACCCGUGGCUUCUAUAAUCACUGAAACAGAAUAGGAACUUUUGGGAUAACAAGGCUCUUUUCUUCCACCUGCAGGGUGGUCUUGACACUUGUAAGACCUUGGUCAAGUGAUUC